rnacentral:tRNA from 4 species
GCGCUUGUGGCGGAAUUGGUAGACGCGCUAGACUUAGGAUCUAGUGAUUUCCAUCGUGCAGGUUCGAUUCCUGUCAAGCGCAC